CUUCUAUCCGAAACUAAACUUGUUGUCGAUACAUUGGUGUCAGUAUACCUUUUCAAGUCAGAAGUCUUUCUAGAAACAUGCUCUCUGCUUGUUGAAGCAAUAAUGAAGUCUGCGCACAUCUUACACUCCUCAGACCCCACUUCCGAGUGAUAUAUACAUAUUGAAGGGACACUUAUUAAUCAAAUAUUUUGGCAUAUUUACUUUUGUCCCUUUCUAUUUCUGUUAGAACAUUUGCUGCAUUUUGUCCAACAGCCUAGUACUAUAUCUGUUAGUAAUGUAUGGUCAGGAUCAUUUACCGUUAUUGUCUUUUGUCAUGUAGUAAAGCACUCAUCUAUAAGGUGCUUGUUAUUCAGUGUGUUAUGCAGACAAGUAUAAUGAAUAUCACUCUUUGGUGAAAACUUGAAUCUCUGAUAUGUUUUGUGCUUCAUGAAUCAGUCAUUUCUUUAUAUCACACGAUCCUAGAAUACUUGUCAUCAUGGUAUCAGAGCGAGGUUGCUCUUGAACCAAAACCAAUCUUCUUAUUCUGUACAUCUUUUCUCCAGAUCUACUUUCUUUUCUCCUAUCAAAUCUCUUCUUCAAAAAAACUCUUCUCUAAAUGGCUUCCUCAAGCAGAGUAACUCUCUCAGACAUGUCAAACCCACUCUUCCUUCACCCUUCUGAUAAUGCCACUUCGAUACAAGUGGAUAAGCUUCAAGGUAGCUCUGACUAUCGAGCCUGGAAACGCUCAAUGGAGAUAAAUCUAUCUUCAAAGCGCAAACUUGGUUUUAUCAAUGGCACUGUGCCUCUUCCAACAGAUGACGAGACAAAAGCAGAGUUGUGGGAAACUGCAAACAACAUGGUCAUAGCCUGGAUCACAGGUAAUGUAUCUCCUACCAUUCGUCAAUCUAUCAUGUACAUGUCUAGUGCUCAAGACAUGUGGAUAAAUCUUGAGAAACGUUUUGCCUUGACAAAUGGCUCUCGAAAAUACAAGUUAUGUAAAGAUCUGUAUGCUCUAAAACAGAAUAAUAUGUCUGUUACUGAGUACUAUACGUCCAUGAAAUCUGUUUGGGAAGAGUUAGACGCCAUGAAUACACUGCCUGCUGUUUCUAACUCUUUACCUGAUGUUGUCAAGUUGUUAACAUCCAUCAAUAUUCAGAGAGAGGAAUCUCGUCUGUUCCAGUUCUUGAAUGGUCUAAAUGACAUUUUCUCAAACCAAAGAAGUCAGUUACUCAUGGUCGUACCGCUUCCUACUGUGGAAACUGCUUGUUCAGUUCUUGAACAAGAAGAAGCCCAGAGAUCUGUAUUAAACAGCACUCCCUCAAUGGACCUCAUGGCCAUGUUUGGACGAAACCAAACCGACAAACAGAUCCCUGUAUGCACUGUCUGUGGCAAGAAAGGACACCCCGCAGACAGAUGCUGGAAUGUUAUUGGCCACCCAAAAUGGCACUCUUCCAACUCCACUUCUCCUCACUUCUCUAAACCAAGAUUUCAAAAUCAAACCUCUACCACCAAAAAAUGGCCUUCCUCAGUAAAACCCUCAAACCAAAACAGAAUGACUGCUGCUAAUGUUAUCACACAGCCUCCACCUUCCAUGUCUCAAGGUUUACUAUUUACUCCUCAACAGCUUGAGCAGCUCGCCAAGUUGGUUCCUCAGUUACAAAACCCUCCAGUCCAAGAAACUGAAACUGAUGAAGAGAUUGACUACCAUUUUUCUGGCAUGCUGUCACUUACAACCAGCAAGGGUGACUCAUGUCUCUGGAUUGUUGACUCUGGAGCUUCUAACCACAUGACACCACAUCUUUCUUCUAUGCUGCAACCUACAGUGGUUCCUUUGACUCAACAAAUUAAUCUUCCAACUGGGGCCACUGCACAAAUUUCUCAUACUGGCUCCGUCAACUUUUCUACUGGCCUGACUCUGGAUAAAGUCUUAUGUGUUCCCUCAUUCAAACAUAACCUCCUUUCUGUACAGAGGCUUAUUGCAGAUAGCAACUGUGAUGUACAGUUUUUCUCUACUCACUGUACCAUCACAGACAGAACUUCUAAACUGCUUAAAGGAGUUGGACGUGCCAAAAAUGGAAUUUAUUAUCUUGAUGCAGCCUCACCUCUGGAACAGUGCAACAGUGUUUCUACACCUGCUCCACAUGGUACACACUCCUCACCCCUCUCUUUAUGGCAUCAUAGACUUGGGCAUGCUUCUAUAGGAAAAUUGAAACAUAUUCCAUGUGUUAAGCCUUUUAGUGUAGAUAAUUCACAGAUCUGUGUUUCUUGUCCUAUGUCAAAGUUUACUAAACUCCCUUUUCCUAUUAGCCAGUCAUAUGCUUUAAAACCUUUUGAGUUAAUUCACAUCGACAUUUGGGGUCCAUAUAAAGUUCCUUAUUUGGAUAAUUGUCGAUUCUUUUUAACAAUAGUCGAUGAUCAUACAAGACACACUUGGGUUUAUCUUAUCCAGCGUAAAUCUGAUGCUUUACAAAGUCUUAAGACUUUUGUAAACUAUGCUCAAACCCACUUCACUGCCGUUUUCAAAUUCCUUCGUUCUGACAACGCCUUGGAAUUUGAUGACAAACUUUGUCACCAGUUCUUCUCCGAACUUGGUAUUCUUCACCAAAAAUCCUGUGUCAAAACCCCACAACAAAACGCCCGGGUAGAGAGAAAACAUCGGCAUAUUCUUGAGAUAGCAAGGUCUUUAAGAUUUCACUCUGGUUUUCCUUUAGAUUUGUGGGGGGCGUGUGUGAUGACAGCAGUUCACAUAAUUAAUCGUCUUCCUACCCCUGUGCUUAACAACUUGACUCCAUAUCAGCUCUUAUACAAAGACCCACCUGACUAUACUCACAUGAAGAUAUUUGGUUGCCUUGCUUUUGCUUCCAAUCCCUCCUUUCCCACUGAUAAGUUUGCUCAUCGUGGAGUACCUUGUGCCUUUAUUGGUUAUCCACCUUUAAAGAAGGGACACUUAUUAUUGAACCUUCUCACAAACAAUCAAUUCAUCUCAAGAGAUGUUAUUUUCCAUGAAAACAUAUUUCCAUUUCACACCAACUCUACAAAAUCAUAUAUGCAGCCUAUACCACCCUCUCUACCUUCUUUUCAACAAACAUCAUGUGAUGAUUGGAUACCUGAAGAUGAUGACACUGAUAUAGAACCUAACAGCAGUCUGAAUACUCCAAGAUCUACACCUAAUUCACCUCAAAACACUGAUAGCUCUCUUACUCCAUCAACCUCACAAAACACUCCAAACAAUGAACCACCUAUUAGAAAGUCAACAAGAGCACAUGUUCCACCUAUGUGGCUACAAGAUUAUGUCACUUCUCAGCCAACACAACAUAUCUCGAACCUUGCCAACACAGUGGUUGAACCUCAAUUCCAAUGCUUUAUGACAAGCCUUGCUCAAACCAAUGACCCUACAUCUUUCAAGGUUGCUGUGCAAAGUGACAGCUGGGUCGAUGCUAUGAAUCAAGAGUUAGAAGCAUUAGAAUUAAACAACACUUGGUCAAUUGUUGAACUACCCCCUGGAAAAAAAGCUAUUGGGUGCAAGUGGGUCUAUAGAACCAAACUUCACCCAGAUGGAACGAUUGAAAAACACAAGGCCAGGCUUGUUGUUUUGGGAAAUAGGCAACUGUAUGGAAUUGAUUAUUCAGAAACAUUUGCACCCGUAGCAAAAUUAACCACUGUAAGGACUUUAUUGGCAGUCGCUGCUAUGGAAAACUGGCAUACUUGUCAAAUGGAUGUAAGGAACGCCUUUCUGCAUGGGGAUUUGUUAGACAUUGUGUACAUGAAGCUGCCACCUAGGUACACUCAUAUAGGUUGCAGACUCAGUAAAACAUCUGAUAACACUCUGGACAAUGAGAACAGUACUCUUGUUUGCAGAUUAAACAAGUCUCUCUACGGCCUUAAACAGUCCCCUAGGCUAUGGUUUGCUAAGCUCUCAACUUUUCUUUUAUCCAUUGGAUAUACUCAGUCCAAAGCAGACUAUAGUCUGUUCUUUCUACAUGACAGCGAUUGCUUGACUUUCAUACUGGUGUAUGUUGAUGAUCUCUUACUGUGUGGCAACUCCAUGUCUGCAAUCACCAGCCUUAAAAACAAGCUGUCACAGACCUUUCAUAUGAAGGACUUGGGGGAUCUUAGAUAUUUUCUUGGAAUAGAGAUUAAUAGAAACAGUGAUGGUAUUUUUCUUUGUCAAAAGAAAUAUACUUCUGAUAUAUUGUCUGAGUUUGGUAUGAUUAACUGCAAGCCACUUCAAUUACCACUGGAUACUCAUUUGAAACUAACCCCAGAAAAGGGGGAUCCCCUUCCUGAUCCUACUGUGUAUCAAAGACUUAUAGGUAAACUCAUUUACCUAACAAUAACAAGGCCUGACAUCUGUUUUUCAGUGCAACUCUUGUCACAAUUCAUGCAGCAGCCAACAACUGUCCAUCUUCAGUCAGCAAAACGAGUUCUGCGAUAUUUGAGUGGAACUCUUUCUCAAGGUAUUCUCCUAGCAUCAGAAUCUGCAGCCAAGCUUACAGCAUUCUGUGAUAGCGAUUGGGCUAGCUGUCCAAUCACACGGCGGUCCACAUCAGGGUACUGCAUAUUUCUGGGUGAUUCUCCCAUCUCCUGGAAAGCAAAGAAACAGAGUGUUGUGGCAAGAUCUUCCGCUGAAGCCGAGUAUAGAUCCAUGGCCUUAACCACAUGUGAAGUUACCUGGUUAACAGCCCUCCUCAAAGAUCUUGGACUCAAAAACAUUCCUCCCACUACUCUCAAAUGUGACAACAGAGCUGCUAUAGCCAUUGCUGCAAACCCAAUUCAACAUGAAAAGACAAAGCAUGUGGAUAUUGAUUGCCACUUCAUCAGGGAUCACUUAAAAGCUGGCACUAUCACAACAGAAUUCACUCCUUCAUCUGAGCAGGUGGCCGACUUACUCACAAAAAUCCUUCCUGUCAAGACUCAUCUCCAACAUGUCAGCAAGCUGGGAUCCUUCAAAUCUUCAGCAUCACCAGCUUGAGGGGGCGUAUUGAAGGGACACUUAUUAAUCAAAUAUUUUGGCAUAUUUACUUUUGUCCCUUUCUAUUUCUGUUAGAACAUUUGCUGCAUUUUGUCCAACAGCCUAGUACUAUAUCUGUUAGUAAUGUAUGGUCAGGAUCAUUUACCGUUAUUGUCUUUUGUCAUGUAGUAAAGCACUCAUCUAUAAGGUGCUUGUUAUUCAGUGUGUUAUGCAGACAAGUAUAAUGAAUAUCACUCUUUGGUGAAAACUUGAAUCUCUGAUAUGUUUUGUGCUUCAUGAAUCAGUCAUUUCUUUAUAUCACACGAUCCUAGAAUACUUGUCAUCAAUACAUGGUAUAUUUGGUUUAAUUUGGUAUACAUUGGAAUCAAUUUGAAAUGACACAACUUGGUUAGUCAACAAUAUAUAAGAACUUUGAGGUGAAAGUACACAAGCAUUAACCAAAUCAAC
rnacentral:lncRNA from 1 species